AGCACUGCGCACACGGGAGGAGAAAGCAGGAGGGAGGAGGAGGUCCUGCUGCUGCAAACACAGCCACCUCUGCUUCAUCCACGCAUCCACGGACACUCCACGUUACAGGCCUACCCAGCAUGGAAGCCUUCUCCAACUGGAUGACUUCUUUGUACCACCUCUGGCGUUCUGCUGCAAGAUAAUGAAUUCGAGGAUGAGUUUGGCUGUCCGACAAGGCUUCUCCAUAACCACAGAGUGACCACAGUUUUCCAGCAGGUCUACCCUGCAUCCAGGCAACAGCUCUGCAAUAACACUUGCCCCAGAGACAUCCACCACCUGGACAAAGACGCAAUCUCUUUUGGUAUUUCAUGAAAACAAGCUCAACUGCUGUCUUAAAAUGACAUUUCCAUGUUACAUAUUGGUACAUUUUAAUGAGUUUGGUGGCAAAAUGUGUCAAUAAGUCAUCUCAAUAACCAAAAGAAGUUAAUAUUUUAACAUAUUUACCUGAUCUUGUUUACCCCAAAUCACUUGUAGAGGAGCAGUUAUGAGAUGCAGGUGCUCUUGUAAAGCAUAUCUUGACUUCUCACCAACAAUCUCCAUAAAUACUGCAGAAAUGAAAACAAUGGUUUUAUUUACAUGUUGUUUGAGUAUGAAAAACAUUACAAAAUGUUCCUUUUUAUAAGAAAACGAACCUUCUUCAUAAAACGUGUUGUGAGGCAGUCGGACAUCUACCAGUCCUUGAAGAAUCUAAAUAAUAAAAAAAAUAGGAUUGAAGUAUCCACUAAAUGAAUCAAACAUUUUUUUUCAUAGAUUUUCAAGUUUCUGGUGUCCAUUGUAACGAAAAGAAAACUCAUGUUACAAGUAUGGACUUGACCUGCUGAGGAAUUCUGAAGCGAACGUGGGAGCACAGUCUGAACAUGUCCUCCAUCUCCUCUGGUGUAGUAGGGAUCAGUGGGAUGCUGAGGGUGUAAUUGCUGUGCUCCAGGUCCUGUAAGUGAUUGUCAAACUUGGUCUCACACGGAUGUCUUAUUCCUGUAGCAGAAAAACACUUAUAUACUGAUGUUUGACCGUGGUAUAAAAGAGAAAAGGACAAAGAAAUAAAACUAUAAACCUAUAAUCUCAAAUAAUGUGGAUUAGGAAUUAAAUCUGGUUCUCAUAAUAACCUUUGAAGAGGCUCUGGCAAUUUUAAAGAUUUUAAUAAAACAUGUAAAAACCAUUUAGGCCUUUUGUUGUUUGAUAAGACUUGUGCAUCCUGUCAUCUUUCCACCUGUUUAAAAGCCUUUCAGAACCAAGUUCUAGUCCUUCUGAUUGUCAAAUACAUUUUUAAAAAUUUUUUUGUUAUUAUUUAUUUAUACCACACCCUUCAAAUAUUUUAACUCUAAAAGUAUCUAUCACAUGCAUUAAAAGUGUGGGAAAACCUGUGCCUUAUUACACUUUCAGAGAACCCUGCUGUGACUUAAUUGAUUUUGCAACAUCUCAAUAAAUCUUCAUCUCAUUAAAUUUUAUUUCUUCCAGGCUUCCAAAAAAGAAAAAAAGGCAACACAUGGAAUUAACUUGCCCUCAGUUUCAAUAUAAAAAGUUUUCCAGAGCUUUCAACUUCCUCUUGUGAAAGUUUAUUUUAAACUAGAAGAACUUUUUAUUUUUUGGAAAGCCAAAUAGAUUUGACGCUAAAAUAAAAUGCAUUCUAAAGGUGUAAUGAAAAAAAAAAGUCAAAUACACACAAAAUGUGACCAACCAUGCAACCGUGUUUUGUAAUUAGAAUGUCAGAUGGAUUAAAAUCCAAAUUUACUGGACUGUGUGCAGUGCUGGACCAAGCCAAACAUGUUUUGACCUAAAAACAAAUGACUUUUAAUAUAUAUAUUUGCAAGUUUAGACCCGAUAAUGUGACAGUGCAGACUCCGGUGAUGUCUCUAACUAAAGUGCCACAAAUAAACGCAUGCAGUCACUGACCGUCUGGACAAAUGAGAGUCAUGCUGCAGAGUUCUGAAGGAUAACAAGCUGCAUAAACUCCUCCAACAUUUCCCCCCAUGGAGGUUCCAACCAGAUGAAAGGGUUUCCUGUUUAGGUGAAUGGAUUCCACAAACUGGAAACAUUGAGAAAUAAU